rnacentral:rRNA from 1 species
UACGAAGGGAGCAAGCGUUGUCCGGAUUUAUUGGGCGUAAAGAGCGUGUAGGCGGCCAGACAGGUCCGUUGUGAAAGUCGGGGGCUCAACCCUCGAAUGCCGGUGGAUACUGUCGGGCUAGAGUACGGAAGAGGCGAGUGGAAUUCCUGGUGUAGCGGUGAAAUGCGCAGAUAUCAGGAGGAACACCAAUUGCGAAGGCAGCUCGCUGGGACGUCACUGACGCUGAGACGCGAAAGCGUGGGGAGCAAACAGG